rnacentral:rRNA from 1 species
GACGGAGGGUGCUAGCGUUGUUCGGAAUGACUGGGCGUAAAGGGCGCGUAGGCGGCCGGUUGCGUCGGAUGUGAAAGCCCGGGGCUCAACCCCGGAACGGCAUCCGAUACGGGCUGGCUCGAGACCGAGAGAGGUGAGUGGAAUACCCAGUGUAGAGGUGAAAUUCGUAGAUAUUGGGUGGAACACCGGUGGCGAAAGCGGCUCACUGGCUCGGUUCUGACGCUGAGGCGCGAAAGCGUGGGGAGCGAACAGG